CCAAAAAGGAAGGUUCCCCGCUCUAUCUCUCGCUGCAUUGGCUUAUUGAAAUUUGCAAUUGGAUGAUCUUCACGAACGGAUCGACGGCUGAUGGACAAUGUAAGUUGUUAAUUCAUGUUCUGUUGUCGUGUUCUGUUGCUAUUUUUUAUUUGAAUUCUAUUAUAAUAAGUUACUCAUCUUUGGAUUUACUUCUACUUUUCCUGGUUGCUUCCAAAAAUGCACGUUUGUGUAGAACAUUUCAUACGAACAGAGAGUUAGCUAACAAAAGUAUUAAGACAUUUUUUCAGGAAAUGGAUUGGAUAAUAACGUUAAAGAAUUGCUUUUAAUAUUUGGAUAGUAGUAAUGCAUGAACUAGGAAAGAUUCCUUUUGAAGCAACUAUGAUUUGGUCAUGAUUAAUAGGUAACCUUUACUAUAUGGUUCGAGUUAUUAAAAGAUCCCUAUUCUAGAAAGCCAAAAAUUGCUCAUAGUUCAUGUAAAUAUGAGUUAUAAUGAAAUGAAAAAAAUUCCAUAGAUUUUAUCGAAUAAUUUAUUUAAAAAGCCAAAUUUUACUCUUCAUGGGAUAGAUCUUGAUUUGGUCUGUCAUUGUCUAAUAUAGGUUUAUGUUUAUCAGUUUCUAUAUUUAUAUAAAAGAAAAGGAAAUUGUUAAUGCCAAUCAAUUCAGACAUGGUCUGUUAAUAUUAAAAGAAUUAGGCUUUCUGAAUCUAUCCUGAAUUAUUUGAAUAUAAAAUCCAAAGAUGGCUCACGGGCAUGCUGACAAAAAAAAAAUAUUUUGAAAUUUUUGGCUUUUAUUCCUAGGCCAAUUUAAAAAGCCAAAAUAGGAGAUGCAUCACUUCUCUUUUCUUUUUCCUUUUGUUUUUUUAUGGUUUUUGUUUUAUUUUUACUUUGUGAAUUUAGUUGGCCAGCCAUUAAAUUAACAAAAACUUGUUUAUAAUGUACUCAAGCUAUUAUGAAGUAGUAGGGCCAAUGAUAUAAAUAAAGGAUGGGAAGCAGUCAAUUGCUAUAGUUGUUUAAUUAUUCUAAGUCUUGUGCCUCCUGACAGUCUCAACCACUCUUAUUAUUCUAUGCAAAAAUGUCUCAGGAUAAUAGCAAGUAAGAUGAAGCUUGAACCAAGUCCAAGAGCAAAUUUUUUUAAUAAAAAAAGAUCCAUUCUUUUCGCAUCUGAGCAUUGGAAAACAGUAAAAUAACCAAGUUUUAAUGAUUGCUAACAGUGAUGUAACAUGUUAAUCAUCUCUGAUGUUAGGAAUUAUAUUAAUCGUCAGUUUGUCACUUGUGUGUGAAUUAUAUGAGAAUAUUCAUAAAGAUAUGUAGUUACUAAAAUUUGCAUUUUUUUUCAGUUUGCUUACUUCUAGUUAAUCUCACAAAGGCAUGAAAAUUGGGAAAUUAUGUAUUGUAGUCUUUUCACCUAACAAGUUCACUCAUCAAUCUUUUUCUUGGUGAGAGAAUGGGCUUCACAAAACAAACUGUCUAGAAGUAUUCAACCAUGACUAUAUUCAUUUUUCUGUACAUUAUUUUGGAACAACAAUCAGUGUUGUUAUCGGACAAAAUUCUUUUCAUGGAGAACUAAUGAAAAACCAGAAACAUUCACAUCUGAUAGAUAAGCGGAGGUUUUUUAAUAAAAAAAUAGCCUUUAUAUGAUAUGUCUGCCCUGAAGUGAUUGCUCCCUUAUGUUUUUUACCCUUCCUAUGAAAAUAUUCAUUGCUAAAAUUUGUCGAUUGGCUAUUUACCAGGAUUUAAAUUGGGAUAUAUAGCUAGAAAGACCUUAAUACUAAAGUUCUCUGUAACUAGAAAAUGCUCAGCCUAAAGAGUCUUAGAGGGCAUUUCGUUCAGAUGGUUCAUGCAGCUAAAAACUGAUUUUUUUCAUCCUAGGUAAUCUUCAUGCUUAAUGAAUUAGAUGUCAUUGCUUUUUCUGUCCAUUAUCUGAAGAAAAACCAGAAACAUUCACAUCUGAUAGAUAAGCAGAGGUUUUUUAAUAAAAACAAUAGCCUUUAUAUGAUAUGUCUGCCUCUGAAGUGAUUGCUCCCUUAUGUUUUACCCUUCCUAUGAAAAUAUUCAUUGCUAAAAUUUGUUGAUUGGCUAUUUACCAGGAUUUAAAUUGGGAUAUAUAGCUAGAAAAACCUUAGUACUAAAGUUCUCUGUAACUAGAAAAUGCUCAGCCUAAAGAGUCUUAGAGGGCAUUUCGGUCAGAUGGUUCAUGCCGCUAAAAACUGAUUUUUUUCAUCCUAGGUAAUCUUCAUGCUUAAUGAAUUUGAUGUCAUUGCUUUUUCUGUCCAUUAUCUGAACUUAUUGAUUGCUUAACUAUCAGAGUUUGAGUGACCUAAAAGAAAAAUGCAAGUUUCAUUAACUUUCUGCUGAUGCCCUCAGGAUUAAUGAGGAGAAAGCAUUAAUCUUUGGACAUCUUACCUUCAGAAACCAUUACCUGCUGCUGCUGGACUAGUGAGGAGAAACUGCAAAGACUGACCUUGGGCCAUGUACUUGUGGGAGUGAUUUUCCUUGAGCUUCCAGAAUCCUAGCCAGAUUCUUCUUGAUGGGGCUUCUGUGUGCAGUUUAAUAGUAGUCUCAUGCUCUGGUAUGCACUUUUAACUACUUGAAGAUUUUGUAGUGUUCUUUUGCACCUUUCCAAGUUCAUAUGUAAAUUUUUACUGUUACAUUUUUAUAUCCACCUGUGAAAGUCUUUUGUCAAAACUAAAGAGGCUAAUAGAUUUAUGCAUCUUUAGAUGCCAUGAAAUCCAUUUACAAUUUGAUUACAAUUUAUUAUGAGAUUUUCCCUCCAUUAAAUGAUAAACCUGCAACCUAUUAAAUAUAAUUGAAGAAAAUCAGGUCCAGUUAUGUGUAGACUAGUGAACAGCUGAAAUGACUCAUCUACAUGGUGUAAUUGAUUCUUAUUUCUACUGCAUGCUGCCUGGACGUGUUUUGAGGGGAAGAGUUCAGCUAUGGCCUGCCUCCUGUUACCAAAAGAACCAUGAUAUUUGUAAUAUCUCACUACUUAUUGUUCUGAUGUAAAAUAGAGUUUGAUAUAAUUGGUAUUAUAACUGCAAGCCAGUGUUAUAUCAUAAAUUCUAAAUAGCUUUUCUGCACUGAAGUGCAACACCAAAAAGUGAAAUGAUAAACACAGACAAACAAAAGCUAACUUUUGCUUAGUCAAUCAAGAUGGCACAUCCACUUAGUAUCUACUGUUGUUCUCUCAUGUCUUCUAAUGUCUCCUUUCCUUUUCAGCUUGACAUGUAAGUGGCUGUAUUAUGCUAAUAUGCUGGCAUUUCCAUUCUAUUCACUUGGAAACAUAGUAAUCCAACUAUUGUUUUAAUCAAUAAUCUUACUUCCCCUAAUACAGAAAAUUGCAUUAAUUAUCCAAAAAAUUAUAUGUAAUUAUGCUAACAACUUAUCUAGUUUGUGAAAUUACACUAGCAGCCAUUUGGCAUUGGUUCACCACUAAUUAUGUCAAAUCUAGGUGACGAAUGAUGGGUAAACAUUAAAAACUUGAUGCUACUGUACUUUAUAGCUACUUGUUUCUGUGUUAUUUUCGAACCAGUUAAUAUCUGUUUAUGCUUUCCUUGAUACUUCUAACUACUCGGUGUUGUUAACCUUGUCCUUUUCUGUAAACCUAAUCUGUCAACUUUUAUUGCAUCCUCCACUUUCUUCAUUCAAUAUUCCACGCACUACACCAUUAAUCCAUUUUGCACAUGAUAAGCAGUGAUGUCUUCGUUACUGUAACUGAAAAUUUUCUACAUUGGAAUGGAUAUUAUGUUCAAAACAAAUUUUUAAAGUUCAACAAUUUUUACCAGCAGAUAAACUUUAUUUUUGAAUGAAGAAUUUAGUGACAAAUAUGUAAUCAUUUGUUAGAAAAAAUGGGAAUAAACUGUUUGGUGGUAACAAACAGUGAUAUCAUAGUCAAGGGCCUCUAACCUAAUUCUUCUUGUGAAUUUAUUCUAUGUAGCUUUUAGACUUACAUAACUUCUUGGAAAGAUGCCAACUAAUUUUACUGGUUAUUAGUGAACUUAGUUCCAUGAAAUUGGUAAGAAAAAGUGAAAGAAUAUAAUUUUUUUUUUACACAUAUGCCUAUAUGAUCUAAGAAAGAUGUUUUCUGGGAGGUUGAAUCCAAUUUCUAAUAUGGUGGUUGAAUUUUCUUUUUCAGAUUUUGCUUUGCUAUGGAUUGAAUAGAAUGUGGGAAAGUUGAAAAAGUGGAUUUAAAUACAUGAGAUAGUAGUUGAAAGAACACAUGUAACAUGUUUUGGAUAGUAACACCUUCCUAAAAAACUUGAUCAAUCGCUAUCCAAGAAUAAUACAUUCUUUAGGUUCAUGGAUUUACAGGUUGUCUUGACCAAGGAAAACUUAAAACUUCCAUGGGAAACUAUGGUGUGGCUUUCCUAUAUCAUUUUCUUGGAUAUCAUUUUCAAUAGGUAUUUUCUAACUUGUACUUGACAUAAAUUGGAUACUGGAUUACUAUAGUCAUUUUAUUGAACUAAUGCCCUAUGUGCAGGUGAUUGUAGACAAGAGAAUCCAGGUCUAAUAAAAUCUGUGGUGUACGGAUUUCAUUGAGCUACAGUACGAAUUACUGUACAAUCAAUCAAUUCUUGUGGUUAUCAUAUUUUCUUUUCGGUUUUUUUCUUUCUGGCUUUUGAUAUUUCAAUCUAAGAUUUUUUAUGUUAGCUUAUCUUUGGAAAUAAAAUUCCUCUUCGGA
rnacentral:lncRNA from 1 species